rfam:Larimichthys crocea isolate SSNF unplaced genomic scaffold scaffold109, whole genome shotgun sequence.
GGGGAUGUAGCUCAGUGGUAGAGCGUGUGCUUCGCAUGUAUAAGGUCCUGGGUUCAAUCCCCAGCAUCUCCA